AAAUAAAUACUAUUCACAGGAAUGCCCAUUAAGUGAUUAUCUUGAGUGAAGAGAAAAGCUAUGAAAAUCCUAGAAAGCAUAUACACGGAAAAGGUGGAAUUACAAUAUUAAUAUCCAAUACACAGUAGAGCUUUUAAAGGAGAGGAUACACAUAAAAUCACAAUGCUGACAAUUAUUCAAUAGCAGGGGUUCAUCUUAGAAUUUGUGGUCAAUUUAACAUCUAGUUAAGUAUCUAUUAGUCACCUGGCCUUGGCCAUAAACAUUCAUACUGAGUGAGCUUUCUGUGAUACAAUGUCCUGAAUAAGCAACACUGGAGGCUAUUUAUAACAGCAAGCGUCAAGAGGUUCCCAUCCUGGUGAAGUGGUGAAGUCGCCAUCCUUAUUCCAGAUAAAAAGGAGAGAGGAAGAAGAGGGGAAUUCGUCACAACUGAGACUCAGAUUCAAUCCCUGGCACAGGAACUUCCAUAUGCAAUGGGUAAGGACAGAAAAAAAAACAACAUCAUUUCUUUCUGGCCCCCAAACAAAAGGCAGACAUAUAGCAGGAAAACCAUGGUAUGAAGCACUGAAUAAAAGUAUUUCUUCUGUCAGCAGACAUGAAUAUUGCAGCACUGUUCAUGACAGUAAAAAGCUGGGGUCCAAGUCUAUCAGCCAGAGAAGAGAUAAAUAACUUGCUGUAUAGUCAUACAAUGAAAUACCAUUCAUCAGGUAAACAUGAAUAGAUUUCAGGUUCGAGGAUCAUGAAAGACAUAAUAUACAAAUGGACAAUGGCCAGAGCAUGUAUAAAAACAGAACUCUGAGCUACAACUGGCAGCCACCUGCCUAGGAAACUAAUCUCUUUAUCUCUAAUAAACAGCCCAGGAAGCCAGUCUGCUUUAAGCCAGACAGCUAUCUUGAGUGACAAUCCAGGAUGCCACACAAUAACCUCUGUCACAAUUGGCCCCAAAUGGUCAAGUCUUGAUUAAUAAUUGACAGUUUCCCUAAUUUUGUCCCACUGUCGACUCAGAAAGAAAGCCACAUGUGCUCUCCUAACCAACCACCAAGGACGCCACACUUCUGGUUAACCUGCCCCCAGUGCUCCCAAUGUCAACAGUCUCCCAUCAGGGCACACCUAAAAUCUUCUUUCCCCACAAUAAGGAUGUAAAUAUUCUAUUUGACAAGAUCAAUAUAAUAUCUGAAGCAAUCUCACCAGAUGCCAGGUUUUGACAAAGCUAGACUGUGGGCUCAUAGCUAUUUCUUUUGUGCCUAAAUUUUUAAAAACACUUAAAAAGAAAUGGUAAUGGUAACACUUCCAAUUAUGAAGGGAAAAUGUUUCUUAUGCAACAAGGAUAUUUCUACCUGCCACAAACACAUCCUUAGUUAAGACUGGUAGUCGGUGACACGUCAAAGAGAGAGAUAGAAAGCAAGUAUUUUUUUGUAGUUCAAUUUCCUUUCCAUUUCAAGGAUGGCAAGCUACUGACAGUUGCUCUUUUCUGCUUUUCAUUCUUUCUUUAAUUUAUCUUGGCUUUAUUAUUUUCUCUUUAUUGGCUGAGUGUACAGGCACAUGAGCCUUCAGAUGACCUCUUGCGACCUCACCACUCUGUUCCUCAGCCACUUAUGACCCUCAGGCCUCUUUUUUUUUCUUUAAAAAAAAGACAUAUUUCCCCGUUUCAAAUAUAAGAAUUGUGCAUUCACUGGAGAAAUUUUGGAAAAUACAGUCUAUGUAUAAAGAAAAAGUAUCCAUAGUCAUACCAUUCAGUACACACACUAGUAGUUCUGACGUAUUUUUCACAGUAAUUGUCUAUACAUCUUAAAAUAAUAGCAGGUCUUUAGCUUUUUAUUAAUAUUAAUAUUUUAUUGUGAUACUAACCUCAGGUAAUAUCUAUAGCCCCAAAUGCCCCUUAUGGUAUGAACAGCUGUAACCUGGGAAAAGAGGCUGACAUACAAGAAUGUUAUGAAUAAAUGUGUGUGAACAAAGUAACAAUAAGUUAGACACAGUAGCAUCAUUUAUAUCUUCAUAGAUUUUAUACAUAUAUAGAGAGAGAGUGAGUCAGACCCAGUAGUUCCUCAAAGUUCAUAUAGUUAACACCAACUAAAUUCCUUAAAGAAUCAAGUUAUACACUACACUGUUACUGAUGUCCUUUAGGGAGAAAUCUGAAGAAGCAAAGGUACUGUGAGGGAUGCUCUAUUAAGGAGAAAGGAUGUGGGUUCAAGCUCAGAGGAAACCAGGUUACCAUCUUCAAUGGUCCCACAAGAAUCUGGGCACUGAUCCAAUGUAAUUCCUCUACUUAAUAGUUGAUUCUUUUCUGAACAUGACCUGCCCUAUAAUUUUAAAAGGAAUCGUUAAAGUUCUUUAGCUGACUGAGUGAAAGUCAUUUUGAUUCAAUGUUACUUUCAUAACAUUAUCUGUUCCAUCUGAGGGACAAUUAUGUUUUAUAGUUAUGUAAGUUAAGAAGUGAAUGAGGUUACAAUAUAAAAUGGUUUAAAUCAAGAAUAUAUAAAACACAGACAGAAGCCACUGACCAAUGGAGAAAAGUCUAUGGCGAAAAAGGCUUGGUCUACAAAUCAGUCAUAUCAAACCUAUAUGGGAAAAGCCUUAAAAAGAAUGGAUAUAUGCAUAUGUAUAACUGGAUCACUUUGUUGUACAGUAGAUAUUAUCACAACAUUGUAAAUCAACUGGACUUCAAUAAAACUUUUAAAAAUGACUCAGGAGUUCCCUUGCGGCAAAACAGGUUAAAGAUCCAGUGUUGCCACUGUAGCGGCACAGGUUUGAUCCCUGGCCAGGGAUCUUCCACAUGCUGCAAGUGUGACAAAAAGAAAAAAAAAAAAAAGGAAGAAAAUGCAGAUUUAUCCCAUUUUAAUACAAUAUGGCUAGACAAUUUAAUCACACUAAGGUUCCACGUGUUAUGAAAUACUAGAGUGACCUAAAAUGUUGAAUCUGUCAUAAGCUAAGUUUAACUUCUUAAAUUAAAUCAAACAUUUAGCCUGUUUGGUCAGUGAUAACUGAUGCUGGUCAUUCGUUUUGUGUGAAAUGUUGACCAACUCUCACACACUAUGGAGCAUGUGUGGCUUGGAGGGUGAGGAAGCACAAAGGUCUAGAUGAAGCUCUGACCCCUCUGCCCAUCGUGGCUCCCUACCACCCACUGCCCACUGCACACCUACCCCUGAAACUUAGGGGAUCUGAAACUGAACUUAGUCUCUCUGCCCAAACCCUCUGUCUUCCAAUAUCCAUCAAUGGCAUGCAUCACUGUCCUUACAGUUUUCCAGAUAACAAAGGGUAUCCUUCUCAGUUCCUCCUCCGAGUGCUGUCUUCCUAACUUCCCGUGUCCCAUUCUGUCAUUCUACCCGUUAACCUAUUAAUCAGUGAAGCUCACUGAUUCUUCCUCAUCAGUGUCCCUCAAAUCCAGACCCUCCUCCAUAUCCAACCUGCAUCUUCACUACCUUGUCCUUUGUGAGAGAAUCAUCUGCUAGAGCCUCCAACCCACUCGUGCCUCACCUUGUCCUCAGAGUUGUCUUAUAAAAACUCUUCUCAUCGUGCGACUCUUAAAAUCAUUUGUUAACUCCCUGUUGCAACUUGGCACCAUGUGUCAAGACCUUCAUCACCAGACUGCAAGCUAUCUCAUCGGCUUCGUGUUCUGCAAGAAUGUCAACACCUCUGGGGCUUGAGGAAGAAUAGAAACAGAGGCCCAUAUAGGUAUGUAUGAAGACAAAAAUUUACAAAUAAAUCAAGAUCAUUAACUAUUCAACAUGCUCAAGAUUCCUAUCUUCUUUUUUUUUUUUUUAGCCACACCCAUGGCAUUCAAAAGUUCACCAGGCCAAGAAUCGAACCCUUACCAUGGCAGUGAUCUGAGCCACAACAGUGAAAAUGCCAGGUGCUUAACAGAUGCUAGGCCACCAGGGAACUUCUUCACUCCUCCUAUCUUAACAAAUACAAUUUCUUAAAGGACAAGGAGACUAGGGGUGGAUUGAGAAUCCUUGGGCUCCUCAGAAUCUCAUACGGGAAAGAGCUGCACAGGAAGACUCUGGGUCCCCAGCCUGGACCCCAUCUCCCUUUUCUUCCACUCCUGGGCUCCAUCCAUGAACAGUGUGGUGGGCAGGCUAUGGACAAUCCUGGCUGAUGCAAGAGCUCAACCACACCCCCUGCAAACAGCCACCUCUUGGGACAACCUCAGGCUUAGAGAGGCCUCCAUCUCUGCUUCCUCCCACAAAGGAACUGCCAGACCUUGGAAGUGAACUUGGGGCUCAUCUAAGCAGGCAUGCUGAGAUUGCUGGGACCAGAAUACAGGGGGCAUGGGCUCUAGAGUGUCAGGACCCUUGAGUCCUAUCAGAGAGACACACCCUAAAGUGCAGGAGCCAGAAAAACAUGCCUGUAACCCAAGUUUAAGGAGAGCACUCCCCACACACCAGCAACAUAGAGUGCCUCCACGGACAUUAAGAUAAUAGCACAUCAAUCAUUAAAAUCAUCAUCAGAAAUUCUAAUGCACAUAAAGAAUUUUAUGAUUCAUGGACGUUCCCAUCGUGGCUCAGUGGAAACAAAUCUCACUAGUAUCCAUGAGGACGCAGGUUUGAUCCCCAGCCCCUCUCAGUGGGUUAAGGAUCCAAUGUUGCCAUGAGCUGUGGUGUAGGUUACAAACAUGGCUCUUAUCUCGCAUUGUUGUGGCUGUGGUAUAGGCUGGCAACUGCAGCUCCAGUUAGACCCCUAGCCUGGGAACCUCCAUAUGCCAUGGGUGUGGCCCUAAAAAGAC
rnacentral:lncRNA from 1 species